AUUGCCCAGGCUGAGCUCCAACUUGAAUCCUCCUGCUGCAACUUUCCAGAGUGCUGGCAUCACAGGCAUGUGCCACCACGCCCUGCUGUUGUGUUUUAUAACUAGCAUGCAGCAGUCAGCAACUACUUGGGCCCAAUUACAGACCAUCCCUAGGCUGCAAUGGUAGCCACCUGACUUCCAAGAGCCAAGCCAGAAGGGCCUGAAGGCAUCCCUGAAAGCAAGGCUUCAAUCUAGAGGGCUGGUACCUGGUGCGGUCUGAGGCAGCACUGCUGCUGCUGCUGCUGCUGGACUCGGAGUCGGAGCUGCUCCGGGGAAGGCUACAGUCAUUUCGGUAUACCAGGAAACUCUUCUUCACUGGCUGGUUUCCACUGCUGAAGCCAUUGGCUGUUACUGGCCUCAGGACACAAACGACUUAAGGGCAGGAGGUCCCUGAGAAGAUGAGAAGAGAAGAGGUAAAGUGAGACAAUGGAGGAGGCCCUGACGGGACUCUGGCUGGUCCCAGUGUCUCUGGACCUCCAUCUUCCCGACCACACAAUGAGAUGAUGGGGAUGAAAGGGUUCCUAAGGGCCCUUCUAGCUCUACCUUUCAUGGGAAAAGGGAGGGACAGCAGGGCAUGCCGGGAAGCAUGGCAGUGCUGCGCUUUGUCUGGGGACUGGGUGAUGAUGGUAAGGCUCACCCAUUGGGGGG